AUCCUUCUGUAGUUCAUGAGCACGAUGAUUGGGUGUUCACACACUUGUGUGAGAUGUGCCAUCCUUGAACCUUGUUAUGAUGUCAGCACAUUACCCAUCUGACC